GAAAAUGUAUGUUUUAAAUAAUUUUACUAUUUUAAAUUAUUUAAAUGUUUUAUUUUCUUAUAUAUUAUUUUUCGCUUUUAGGUGAUUCAACAAAAAUGCAUUGAAAAAUUUAUUAAAAGCAAAAAAGGAAGAUACAUUGGACUUGGUGGAGGAUCAUAUGCUGAGUCGAGCACUGCUUCUACCAGAUUUUCAAUUAAAAUGAAUGUAAGUUCUCCUGAGAAAGAAAAAGGAAAAGAAAAAAUGGAUGAUCAAAUGGAGAAGAUACUAGAGGUAUGUGUAUGAUAAUACAUGAAAUUUUAAACUAUUAAAUAAAUAUUAAUGAAUCUUAAAUGUUUUACUGGAUAAUCGAUAUUUUAAAAAGAAAUAUGAGGAAAUUUUUGAUAUGUAUCAAGACAUGAUGAAAACAUUUCUAUCACAAUCAAAUACAACUCCACAACCUUCAGAUCAUGGAUCGUUGCAAGAUAAAAGUAAUGCAGGUCGAGCGAUCGAAGAUAUCGAACUCCUCCAUCAAAAUAAUUAUUCCAUGUUAGUUUUAUUGAAUGUCAAAUUUGUUGAAUGUUAUAUUUGUUGAAUGUUUUUUUGUUGAAUAUUGAAUGAAUUUACAGGAAUUUGCAAUGAAUUUACAGAAAUUUGUUGAAUAUUGAAUGAAUAUAUGCAAU
rnacentral:lncRNA from 1 species